UCAGUCGGAUGGAUCGAGCUGUUCGAUUAGGAGCAUCAGAACGAUCAGUUGGAGGACACAUGAUGGUGCAGUGAGGAGAUUGAAGAAAAUUCGAUAUAUAUCCAAUUUCAUGUGAAAUCUUAUCUCACUGAGUAGACUAAAUUCAAAUGACUACAAGUAGGUAGCUGGUGAUAGAAUCCUGAAAGUCAUACAUGGCGAUAGGAUGAUAUUGGAGGGGAAGA
rnacentral:lncRNA from 1 species